rnacentral:rRNA from 1 species
UACGUAGGGUGCGAGCGUUGCCCGGAUUUAUUGGGCGUAAAGGGCGCGCAGGCGGCUACGCACGUCCGUUGUGAAAUCGCUCGGCUCAACUGGGCGGGGUCAGCGGAUACGGCGUAGCUGGAGCAAGCUAGGGGGCAAUGGAAUUCCCGGUGUAGUGGUGGAAUGCGUAGAUAUCGGGAGGAACACCAGUGGCGAGGGCGGUUGCCUGGAGCUUUGCUGACGCUGAGGCGCGAAAGCUAGGGGAGCAAACGGG